rnacentral:rRNA from 1 species
GACGAAGGAUCCAAGCGUUAUCCGGAUUCAUUGGGUUUAAAGGGUGCGUAGGCGGACUUAUAAGUCAGUGGUGAAAGCCGAUAGCUUAACUAUCGAACUGCCAUUGAUACUGUAGGUCUAGAGUAUAGAUGAUGUUGGCGGAAUAUGACAUGUAGCGGUGAAAUGCAUAGAUAUGUCAUAGAACACCGAUUGCGAAGGCAGCUGACAAAACUAUAACUGACGCUGAUGCACGAAAGUGCGGGGAUCAAAC